rnacentral:rRNA from 1 species
GACGAACGCUGGCGGCAUGCCUAACACAUGCAAGUCUAGGGGUAGCAAUACCACUGGCGCACGGGUGAGUAACACGUAGGUUAUCUGCCCCCAUCACAGACAUAACCCCGGGAAACCGGGGGCUAAUAUCUGAUGAGGUCGCGAGAUCAAAGCUUCGGCGGAUGGGGAUGAGCCUGCGGCUGAUUAGCUAGUUGGUGAGGUAAUGGCUCACCAAGGCGACGAUCAGUAGCUGGUCUGAGAGGACGAACAGCCACACUGGAACUGAGACACGGUCCAGACUCCUACGGGAGGCAGCAGUGAGGAAUAUUGGUCAAUGGGAGCAAUCCUGAACCAGCAAUGCCGCGUGUGGGAUGACAGGGCUUCGCCUUGUAAACCACUGUCGGACGGGACGAAAGGAGGCCUCGGGCCUCUGGGACGGUACCGUCAAAGGAAGGGUCGGCUAACUACGUGCCAGCAGCCGCGGUAA